ensembl:snoRNA small nucleolar RNA SNORA2/SNORA34 family
CUGGCCCUGAACCAAAGCUGGUAAAUUCCUGAUGCUGUUGGUUUCAAACAGUAGCUUAAAGAGAUGUCUUCUAUGGUCUGCUGGCCAUUUCAGAACUUGGUCAGUGAAAUGGUCAAUUCAUUAGAAAGAAACAGCU